UGGGGGAUAUUGCACAAUGGGCGAAAGCCUGAUGCAGCGACGCCGCGUGGGGGAUGAAGGCUUUCGGGUUGUAAACCUCUUUCGCUAUCGAACAAGGCCCGCUUAGGGUGGGUUGAGGGUAGGUGGAGAAGAAGCGCCGGCUAACUACGUGCCAGCAGCCGCGGUAAUACGUAGGGCGCGAGCGUUGUCCGGAAUUAUUGGGCGUAAAGGGCUUGUAGGCGGCUUGUUGCGCCUGCUGUGAAAACGCGGGGCUUAACUUCGCGCGUGCAGUGGGUACGGGCAGGCUUGAGUGUGGUAGGGGUGACUGGAAUUCCAGGUGUAGCGGUGGAAUGCGCAGAUAUCUGGAGGAACACCGAUGGCGAAGGCAGGUCACUGGGCCAUUACUGAUGCUGAGGAGCGAAAGCAUGGGUAGCGAACAGG
rnacentral:rRNA from 1 species